AUGCGAAAGCAGUUGAAAACAAAUCGAAAGAAUUUGGAAACAAGUUCUAGUAGAUUUGGAAGUUCGUAAAGAACAUGGCCUCGUUGAACGGUGGAGAGAGUCACUAGGUGAUCGUCAGAUCUGCUUAGUCUCUAUACAGCGCGUCAACAUGGGUGAUGGCGGCGAGUUUAUUGUGAAAGUUUGUUGAGAUUUCUCACAAGCGGACACUGAUAGACAAGCUGCUUAGCCUGAACAGUCUCGUCUCGGACAUCUAGCGAUUCCGUGGGCGAGCAGCGAAGGAUUUGGUGGAUUAUUAGCUAAUAGCAAUCUAUUUCAAAGAAUUCAAACUUGGGGGAAUGCCUCGUCGAAUAGCCGGUUAUGCUCUCAAAUCAAUGAUAUUAAACCUGCUUCUGUGAAACAUCGGAUCAGUGUUUAUGGAAAUUGGUUAGAGGAAACUAGGGCAAGUGAGAAGAAAGUGUAAAAGCUUCCUUUUUGCUUUGCUCGUUGCUUGUUCGCAAGCCAACCUUCAAAAAGUUAUCUUCAAAUGACGGUGAUUUAGUGGGAACUCCCUUUGGGAGCGACUGCUCUUUUGCUGUUCAGAUUAAAGAUAGU